rnacentral:snRNA from 1 species
AUUGCUUCUUGGACCUUUGGCUAAGAUCAAGUUUAUCUGUUCUUAUCAGUUUAAUACUUGAUACGUCCCCAAUAUAUCAAAUGGAUUUUUGGAGCAAGGAAGCAGAAUAGGAGUUUGCUCUGUCCAUGCCACCCAUUGGCCUGGCUUUGCAGUCCAGGAAUGGUCCACAUCCC